GCACUGGCUCUGGGUUGCCUAGCGGCGCUCCUGGUGCCACCCAGUGGCGCCCUGGAGGACGAGGUCCACCUGCAGCCGAUUCCCGAGCCCAGGUCGGUCAGUUGGUUUUCAAGUUUCGGCCAGAUCAACAAGUACUUGGAGAAGCUCUUCAGCAACAGGUGGGGUUGAUGGAGGAAUGAGGAGGAGGGGAGGUAAUCUGGCACCCCUGCUUAUGUCUCGGCCCCACGAUCUCUGCAAUGACGUGUCCCCUAGUUCGAAGAAAUUCAAAAACCUCAUGAAACCCUCCAACACCACCAAAUCUGCCCCAUCGAACACCACAGAACGUCCUUACUUGGAUGCCACGAACCCCCUACGGAAAAGCAUCAGCAAACCCCCAACACAGGAACCCCGCGGACGCCUGUCACUAGCCUCCUCCCCAGGCUCCAGGUAGGCAAGGCUGGUGCAGCCAGCAGAGGCCUCCACCCAUAUCCUUGGGCAAGUGGGAAGAAGUGAGAAGGGAAAGCCCUGGCCACUUGUAAGGGGUACACCAGGGCCAGGGAUGUUCCUCUUCAGGCUGGACCUAGACUCCCAGAGGCCUAGCCUGGAUCUGGCUACCCACAGACUCCUUUAGACGAUGAGCUGUGCCUCUGUUCCUCCCUACCCAUGCAGCCUGAACAAUAGACAGCAAUAAUGGAACUGACAAGAUGGCUCAGUGGUAAGGGCACUUGCCACUAAGCCUGCCGGCCAGAUUUCCACCCCCAAUCUCAUAAGACAGAAGAAAGGACACGUGUACCGUGACUUGCGUGUGCACACAUGUAAUGCAAACACACAAUGACAAUAAAGGAAUGGAUAAAUACAUUUUUAACAAGAA
rnacentral:lncRNA from 1 species